rnacentral:rRNA from 1 species
GAUGAACGCUGGCGGCGUGCCUAACACAUGCAAGUCGAGCGAUCUUCUUCGGAAGAGAGCGGCGGACGGGUGAGUAACGCGUGGGUAACCUGCCUCAUACACAUGGAUAACAUACCGAAAGGUAUGCUAAUACAAGAUGAUAUAAGAGAUUCGCAUGGAUUUCUUAUCAAAGCUCCGGCGGUAUGAGAUGGACCCGCGUCUGAUUAGCUAGUUGGUAAGGUAACGGCUUACCAAGGCGACGAUCAGUAGCCGACCUGAGAGGGUGAUCGGCCACAUGGGAACGGAGACACGGUCCAAACUCCUACGGGAUGCAGCAGUGGGGAAUAUUGCACAAUGGGCGAAAGCCUGAUGCAGCAACGCCGCGUGAGCGAUGAAGGCCUUCGGGUCGUAAAGCUCUGUCCUCAAGGAAGAUAAUGACGGUACUUGAGGAGGAAGCCCCGGCUAACUACGUGCCAGCCGCCGCCGUAAUAC